AUGAUUCUUCUCGCCUCCGCGCAAACUCCUUUGCGGUUGGAAACGCUCUGGCGGCUUUACAACAGUGAAAUUAAUGAGAGAAAUCAAGGAACUCAGGUUGAUGAAUAUAGAAGAAGAUGUAGAUGCGGUUAUUGCGGAGAAAGAGAGAAGAAAUUUCUGGGUGAUUCUCCCACAAUUGAAAUCCUGAAGCAAUUGAAAGAGAUUUCUGUUAUAUCAUCUGAAGUUUGUUACCGGUUGAUUCCAAGUGGCCAGUAG